rnacentral:rRNA from 1 species
GGUUAAGCGACUAAGCGUACACGGUGGAUGCCCUGGCAGUCAGAGGCGAUGAAGGACGUGCUAAUCUGCGAAAAGCGUCGGUAAGGUGAUAUGAACCGUUAUAACCGGCGAUGUCCGAAUGGGGAAACCCAGUGCAAUUCGUUGCACUAUCGUUAACUGAAUACAUAGGUUAACGAGGCGAACCGGGGGAACUGAAACAUCUAAGUACCCCGAGGAAAAGAAAUCAACCGAGAUUCCCCCAGUAGCGGCGAGCGAACGGGGAGCAGCCCAGAGUCUGAAUCAGCUUGUGUGUUAGUGGAACGGUCUGGAAAGUCCGACGGUACAGGGUGAUAGUCCCGUACACCAAAAUGCACAGGUUGUGAACUCGAAGAGUAGGGCGGGACACGUGGUAUCCUGUCUGAAUAUGGGGGGACCAUCCUCCAAGGCUAAAUACUCCUGACUGACCGAUAGUGAACCAGUACCGUGAGGGAAAGGCGAAAAGAACCCCGGCGAGGGGAGUGAAAAAGAACCUGAAACCGUGUACGUACAAGCAGUGGGAGCACCUUCGGGUGUGACUGCGUACCUUUUGUAUAAUGGGUCAGCGACUUAUAUUCUGUAGCAAGGUUAACCGUAUAGGGGAGCCGCAGGGAAACCGAGUCUUAACUGGGCGUUAAGUUGCAGGGUAUAGACCCGAAACCCGGUGAUCUAGCCAUGGGCAGGUUGAAGGUUGGGUAACACUAACUGGAGGACCGAACCGACUAAUGUUGAAAAAUUAGCGGAUGACUUGUGGCUGGGGGUGAAAGGCCAAUCAAACCGGGAGAUAGCUGGUUCUCCCCGAAAGCUAUUUAGGUAGCGCCUCGUGAACUCAUCUUCGGGGGUAGAGCACUGUUUCGGCUAGGGGGUCAUCCCGACUUACCAACCCGAUGCAAACUACGAAUACCGAAGAAUGUUAUCACGGGAGACACACGGCGGGUGCUAACGUCCGUCGUGAAGAGGGAAACAACCCAGACCGCCAGCUAAGGUCCCAAAGUCAUGGUUAAGUGGGAAACGAUGUGGGAAGGCACAGACAGCCAGGAUGUUGGCUUAGAAGCAGCCAUCAUUUAAAGAAAGCGUAAUAGCUCACUGGUCGAGUCGGCCUGCGCGGAAGAUGUAACGGGGCUAAACCAUGCACCGAAGCUGCGGCAGCGACACUAUGUGUUGUUGGGUAGGGGAGCGUUCUGUAAGCCUGCGAAGGUGACCUGUGAGGGUUGCUGGAGGUAUCAGAAGUGCGAAUGCUGACAUAAGUAACGAUAAAGCGGGUGAAAAGCCCGCUCGCCGGAAGACCAAGGGUUCCUGUCCAACGUUAAUCGGGGCAGGGUGAGUCGACCCCUAAGGCGAGGCCGAAAGGCGUAGUCGAUGGGAAACAGGUUAAUAUUCCUGUACUUGGUGUUACUGCGAAGGGGGGACGGAGAAGGCUAUGUUAGCCGGGCGACGGUUGUCCCGGUUUAAGCAUGUAGGCUGGUUGUCCAGGCAAAUCCGGAUAAUCAAGGCUGAGGUGUGAUGACGAGGCACUACGGUGCUGAAGUAACAAAUGCCCUGCUUCCAGGAAAAGCCUCUAAGCAUCAGGUAACAUCAAAUCGUACCCCAAACCGACACAGGUGGUCAGGUAGAGAAUACCAAGGCGCUUGAGAGAACUCGGGUGAAGGAACUAGGCAAAAUGGUGCCGUAACUUCGGGAGAAGGCACGCUGGUGUGUAGGUGAAGUCCCUGCGGAUGGAGCUGAGACCAGUCGAAGAUACCAGCUGGCUGCAACUGUUUAUUAAAAACACAGCACUGUGCAAACACGAAAGUGGACGUAUACGGUGUGACGCCUGCCCGGUGCCGGAAGGUUAAUUGAUGGGGUUAUCCGUAAGGAGAAGCUCUUGAUCGAAGCCCCGGUAAACGGCGGCCGUAACUAUAACGGUCCUAAGGUAGCGAAAUUCCUUGUCGGGUAAGUUCCGACCUGCACGAAUGGCGUAAUGAUGGCCAGGCUGUCUCCACCCGAGACUCAGUGAAAUUGAACUCGCUGUGAAGAUGCAGUGUACCCGCGGCAAGACGGAAAGACCCCGUGAACCUUUACUAUAGCUUGACACUGAACAUUGAGCCUUGAUGUGUAGGAUAGGUGGGAGGCUUUGAAGCGUGGACGCCAGUCUGCGUGGAGCCAACCUUGAAAUACCACCCUUUAAUGUUUGAUGUUCUAACGUUGGCCCCUGACCGGGGUUGCGGACAGUGUCUGGUGGGUAGUUUGACUGGGGCGGUCUCCUCCCAAAGCGUAACGGAGGAGCACGAAGGUUAGCUAAUCCUGGUCGGACAUCAGGAGGUUAGUGCAAUGGCAUAAGCUAGCUUGACUGCGAGCGUGACGGCGCGAGCAGGUGCGAAAGCAGGUCAUAGUGAUCCGGUGGUUCUGAAUGGAAGGGCCAUCGCUCAACGGAUAAAAGGUACUCCGGGGAUAACAGGCUGAUACCGCCCAAGAGUUCAUAUCGACGGCGGUGUUUGGCACCUCGAUGUCGGCUCAUCACAUCCUGGGGCUGAAGUAGGUCCCAAGGGUAUGGCUGUUCGCCAUUUAAAGUGGUACGCGAGCUGGGUUUAGAACGUCGUGAGACAGUUCGGUCCCUAUCUGCCGUGGGCGCUGGAGAAUUGAGGGGGGCUGCUCCUAGUACGAGAGGACCGGAGUGGACGCAUCACUGGUGUUCGGGUUGUCAUGCCAAUGGCACUGCCCGGUAGCUAAAUGCGGAAGAGAUAAGUGCUGAAAGCAUCUAAGCACGAAACUUGCCCCGAGAUGAGUUCUCCCUGAGACUUUAAGUCUCCUGAAGGAACGUUAAAGACGAUGACGUUGAUAGGCCGGGUGUGUAAGCGCAGCGAUGCGUUGAGCUAACCGGUACUAAUGAACCGUGAGGCUUAACCUU